GAUGAACGCUGGCGGCGUGCCUAAUACAUGCAAGUCGAACGAAGAUCUAGCUUGCUAGAUCUUAGUGGCGAACGGGUGAGUAAUACAUAAAUAAUCUGCCCAUAUGACUGGGAUAACUAUUGGAAACGAUAGCUAAUACCGGAUAGGUUGAUUGGAGACAUCUCUGAUUAAUUAAAGUAGGAUUUCUACACAAAUGGAUGAGUUUAUGGCGCAUUAGUUAGUUGGUGGGGUAACGGCCUACCAAGACGAUGAUGCGUAGCCGACCUGAGAGGGUGACCGGCCACACUGGGACGGAGACACGGCCCAGACUCCUACGGGAGGCAGCAGUAGGGAAUUUUCGGCAAUGGGCGCGAGCCUGACCGAGCAACGCCGCGUGAGUGAUUAAGGCCUUCGGGUUGUAAAGCUCUGUUGUAAGGGAAGAACAUUCAGGAUAGGAAAUGAUCUUGAACUGACGGUACCUUACCAGAAAGCCACGGCUAACUACGUGCCAGCAGCCGCCGUAAAAC
rnacentral:rRNA from 1 species